rnacentral:rRNA from 1 species
GGGGAAUUUUGGACAAUGGGGGCAACCCUGAUCCAGCCAUGCCGCGUGCAGGAUGAAGGUCUUCGGAUUGUAAACUGCUUUUGUCAGGGACGAAAAGGGAUGCGAUAACACCGCAUUCCGCUGACGGUACCUGAAGAAUAAGCACCGGCUAACUACGUGCCAGCAGCCGCGGUAAUACGUAGGGUGCAAGCGUUAAUCGGAAUUACUGGGCGUAAAGCGUGCGCAGGCGGUUCUGUAAGAUAGAUGUGAAAUCCCCGGGCUCAACCUGGGAAUUGCAUAUAUGACUGCAGGACUUGAGUUUGUCAGAGGAGGGUGGAAUUCCACGUGUAGCAGUGAAUGCGUAGAUAUGUGGAAGAACACCGAUGGCGAAGGCAGCCCUCUGGACAUGACUGACGCUCAUGCACGAAAGCGUGGGGAGUAAACAGGAUUAGAUACCCUGGUAGUCCACGCCCUAAACGAUGUCUACUAGUUGUUGGGGACG